AAAGCCCCGCAAGGGGUCAGUAGAGUGGCAAACGGGUGAGUAACACGUGGGUGAUCUGCCUCAGAGUGGGGGAUAACGACCCGAAAGGGUCGCUAAUACCGCAUAACAUCCUGCCUUUGGAUAGGUGGAGAUCAAAGCCGGGGACCGCAAGGCCUGGCGCUCAGAGAGGAGCCCGCGGCCGAUUAGCUAGUUGGUGAGGUAACGGCUCACCAAGGCAACGAUCGGUAUCCGGCCUGAGAGGGCGGACGGACACACUGGGACUGAGACACGGCCCAGACUCCUACGGGAGGCGGCAGUGGGGAAUUGUUCGCAAUGGGCGCAAGCCUGACGACGCAACGCCGCGUGGAGGACGAAGAUUUUCGGAUCGUAAACUCCCUUCGAUCGGAAAGAACAGCUCAUAGGUGAAUAGCCUGAGAGUCUGACGGUACCGAGAGAAGAAGCCGCGGCUAACUCCGUGCCAGCAGCCGCGGUAAUACGGGGGGGGCAAGCGUUGUUCGGAAUUACUGGGCGUAAAGGGCCAGUAGGCGGCCAACUAAGUCCGACGUGAAAUCCCCAGGCUUAACCUGGGAACUGCGUCGGAUACUGGAUGGCUUGAAUUCGGGAGAGGGAUGCAGAAUUCCAGGUGUAGCGGUGAAAUGCGUAGAUAUCUGGAGGAAUACCGGUGGCGAAGGCGGCAUCCUGGACCGACAUUGACGCUGAACGGCGAAAGCUAGGGGAGCAAACGGGAUUAGAUACCCCGGUAGUCCUAGCCCUAAACGAUGAAUGCUUGGUGUGGCGGGUAUCGAUCCCUGCCGUG
rnacentral:rRNA from 1 species